GAAACGCUCACUAAUGGAAAUGAAACUUAUGAACAGUUUAACCAACCUCAAACGAAAACAGCAUACUUAUAGUAUAAAUAAGAAAUUCACAUAAAUAAUAGCCGAACAGUAAUGCAUGAAACCCAGUGAAAUGACAUAGUGUUAAUAUGCAAACCAAACUAAUUUUAAUUCCUGGGAAAGAAGGGAGAAAAAAGUAAAAUACACGAG